rnacentral:rRNA from 1 species
GUGAGGAAUAUUGCGCAAUGGAGGCAACUCUGACGCAGCCAUGCCGCGUGCAGGAAGAAGGCGCUACGCGUUGUAAACUGCUUUUAACCGGGAAGAAACCCCAGGACGUGUCCUGGGUUGACGGUACCGGAGGAAUAAGCACCGGCUAACUUCGUGCCAGCAGCCGCGGGAAUACGAAGGGUGCAAGCGUUAUCCGGAUUCAUUGGGUUUAAAGGGUGCGUAGGCGGAGCGUUAAGUCAGUGGUGAAAUCCUGCAGCUUAACUGUAGACUUGCCAUUGAUACUGGCGCGCUUGAGUGCGCUUGAAGUGGGCGGAAUGUGCCGUGUAGCGGUGAAAUGCUUAGAUAUGGCACAGAACACCAAUUGCGAAGGCAGCUCACUAAGGCGAUACUGACGCUGAGGCACGAAAGCGUGGGGAUCGAACAGGAUUAGAUACCCUGGUAGUCC